rnacentral:lncRNA from 1 species
CAGGAAGGUUCAACAACUCCAAAUGUGUAUUUAAAAAAAAAAAAAAAUCCCUCCUUUCCCUGCACCUCAGCUUCCAAGGUGGAAAAAUGUGCCUCUGACUGCUUGCAGGUGCCCAAAUAACCAUAGACAACAGCGUGUGACUUUCAAGUUGGAGAGGAAAAAGUAGCCAAGAGUAGUCAUAUUUAGAAUACCUUCUCUCCCAAGGUUUCAAGACGGGAACAGAGAUGGGAGGAAUGGGAAGAGAAGGAGAGAAAAGACGGAGAGACAUCUCCCUCCAUUCCUGGGAGAACAAUCGCCUUUGUUCACAGCAGGCUGAGAGAGCUGCUUGGGAAACGCCGGAUCUGGGCUCAGGGCAGGCCACGAUGAUUGAUUAGCAAUGUCAUAUGACCCAGUCAGAGCCAAUGAGACACAAUGAGGCUUUUGCUGGGACUGGAGAGAAAGAGCAAAAGAGAACUUUUUCCUGCUGGACUUAACCUCAAGGGAUGUUAGGUUAGAGGUUCUAGCAGCCACCUUGUCAUCAUGGGGAGAAAGACCAUCUGAGAAGGAAGCCAAUCCCACAGAAGCGGAUCCAAGAUACCGGAAGAGUGAAACGGUCUUCUAAAGCUGUACCUGAAGUCACCUUACUCCUGCCAUUUUUUAGUGGAGAAAAUGAAGCAGAGAAGCUUGUGUGACUCACUUAAGGUCAUCUAUGUCGGCGCCACUUCUCAGACUCCAGCUGUCCUCAUAUCCCCAGAAAUGCUUUUUCAGGUCAACAGUGCCUUUAAGUCCUUGGAUUCCAGCUGGUAAUAAAUUUUUCCUGCCAUUAGUUAAUAAAGGAAAUAGGGGUUGCCUAGAAGCAAGCAGAUAUGAUUGGGAGGAAGCUGAGGAAACAUUCUAGCACCUCUGUUUUAUUCUUUGUCUUCAGAGAGAAGAUUCUAUAUCACAUACAAGGAAGCAGAGCAUUCAGUGACAAGCCCUGACUCUACUGUGGCUGAGUAACCACCCAGUCACUCUGGUUGUUGGUGAAGACUCAGCAUUGCCCUGGCACUUUAAUCACUGGGGUCCCGGGGGCCCACAGGGCUCAAUAUCUUACACAUGCAGUUCAUGUACCAGCUGUUGCAGGAAACAGGUUCUCUGGAGUUUAAAAAAGAAAGGCAAUUUCUCUAAUUUGGAUCAGGCCAGGUAAAAUGGUGGCUGAGGCUGUCCCUGUUCUGGGUCUCAGGAACUCAGAGCAGGCGUUCAUAGGUCACGAGAUUGGCAUCAGACAAGAGUAGAUAAAUAGAAAAUUUUUUUCCGGUACAAAUACAGGUCUGUGCGGCCCCGUGUCACGUUGUACCUGGUUAUAUGUGCUGAAGUCUCUGAGCUACUCCCACAGUCAAGCUGGUCACAAAUCGGAUUGGGCCUCAUUUUCACCCUGAAGGAAACUGAGGCUGAGAGUUGCUGAGGCCUGCCCUAAAGGUUGUGGCAAGAGACUCAGCUGGAGGUGAGGUUCCUCUCCUCUAACCUCAACAGGACUCUCCCCACUGGUACGCUACAACAGCUUGGAAGGUAAUCGCACUUGUCAGCGUGGGCUUUCCGGAAUAUGUGCUGCUCAUAUUCUGGGAAGGGCAGGCAGCGGGGGUGAGGGUGAGACAGGAAAUCUUUCUGGAGGCUCUGAAGCCAUUCCGGUUUUGGAGCAUCCCCAGCAACUCCCACAGAAUCAAGCCUUUUAAACUGCCUUUUGGAGAGGUUCGACUGAGAGCAAGGCUGCCUCAAUCUGCUUCUGCCCAACUUCCUUUCUGUGAGGCCCCACAAGAGGACUAGAGCAGCGCCCCAGGGAGGAUGCGAGGAGAAUGGGCUGAUUGAGCGAUGUGGGCACAGGGCUGGCUGGCUGCCACCGUGCUGUCUGUCAGCAGGCUACAGGGUGGCUUUUCUUCUUGGUUUGCUUGCAGAGCCAGGGAGGCUGGGUGCCAGGGAGAAUAUUUUCUUUGUUUGGGAAAAGCCGUGUCCAUCUGGCUUGCUCUGUAGCCUGUAGCCUCUCGCCUGAGAAGCUUUCCUGCCACUGGACAUGGAUCCCACUGGCAGGGUCUCUGCUGUGACCGACAGAAGAUGCCGGCCCUGGGAGAGGCAACCAGUGAGGGCCCUACACAGAGCAUGCCUGCGCCUGGACUGACCCAGCCUUCAGUUCAUCCACCCCACAGACAUUGGCUCAGGGUCUCCCCUGGUGGAAUGUGGACCAUGGCCUGUUGUUACAGGCUCAGGUAGAUUGUCGACAAUGGUGCUCCAGUAUUCUCGGCCUGGGGGAGCUUGCAUCCUGCAUAGCCCCUUAAUUUUUGCAGAUGAGGACACUGAGACUCAGAGAUCUGAAAUAGCUUGUCCAAGGUCACACAAGAAAGCCAGGUUCAAGGCCUGGCUCCACCACUGCCUUGUCUUGUGGCCUUGAGCAAGUUCCUUGGCCUUGCUGGGCCUGUUUCCUAAUCUCUGAAGGGGGAUAAGUACCUAGUCCACAAGGCUAAUGUGGGAGUUAAAUGAGAUGAUCCAGCUGAGGGCCUCAUCAAAGGCCCUCUGCUCAUGGGAGGAGUCCCGUACAGUCCACCUCCAUCUCUGAAUCUGCAUUACCCUUGUUUUAUUAUUGUCAUGCAGUUGGCAACAACCACUACAAUCAAAUGAAGACCUCGGAAGCCAAGGCUGUGCAGCUGUUGCACAAAGUUCCUCGAAAGUCCCUCUUGCCUUCCAUCCUCCCCAUGUUCCCACAUGGUAGAGAUGGCAAGUCUCCUUUCUUUCAUUUUACUGAUGAGAUAAAACUUCAGUCAAAGAUGUGUCCUAAACCUGUGCUCUCCACUUCCUGGUUUCCCUGCUCUUUCUGUCUCCACCUGCUGCCAAUUAGAAUAUUCCCACUGGUAGGAUAUUCCAGCCAUGAGGGCGCUGAGUGUGGGAAAGAAGGAAUACCCCCUCCCACCCCAAAUCAAUGGAAAUCACCUCAGCAUUCUUCUUACUGUUUUCUAUUUUUUCUUGGGUUCAUCUCCAGGGGCUGCGGGUUGGGGGCUAAGGACUGGGGGUCCUUGACUGACUGCACAGGGCUGGAUCUGACGGAGCAGAUAGAACGCAUUUCCCAGCUCUGGGGCUGUGGCCAGUGACAACUUUAACGGCAAAGAAUUACCAUCAAUUGUGUCCUGUGGCUGAAGGGAUUUAUGGACAUUUUAUGUGACUCUAUGGACACAGACCCAAGGUUCCAACUGAACAGAGCUGGGAAGAAACACAGUGGCCCUUGUUAAACGGAAAGAAUGAGUUUAAUGUAUACAGGGAGAGGGUAAGGGGUGGCGGUGGGGAGACAGAAGGAAAGGAGGUUCCCCGUGUUAAAUAUUUACAAUUUGGGACUUGGGUCCUGUAUUUCCAAAGGUGGUGGCAGGAGGGUGAUUUCCGUAAUAUAUUCCUCCCUCAAAACCCACCUUGCAUGAGAAACUGCAGCAGGCACAAAAUAUUGCUCAUGAAUAUUAAUCAGUAAACUCCCCCUGCCAGUUGGGAAUGGGGGCUGGUACUAAAAUACUCCCUCCCCAACCCCCAAAGGCAAACAGCCCCCAAGGAAAACCCUGAAGCCAGCUCCCCAGGCUGACAGCAGAAGUAUUCCUGGCCGUGGGGUCAGAGGGCAUGGCCAGGGGAGGGGUCAGCUUUGUUUCCACUGUGUGUUGGUGAAUGCCAAACCUUUAUGGAACUUUGCUAGCUGUGUUUUGGGCUAUUUAGCUGCAAAACCAAAAGAUUUAUUUUUUCCCUCUCUCUCCUUUUGGGUUUUGUCUUCCACUGGCAGCAGUAACAUAUGCAGGUCUGGAGGCCGUUAAGGCAGGCCAGGCUCUCUCCCAUCCGAAGAAAAGAAAAGACAGGUCUUAAUUAAAAGAGAACCCAACAUUUGUAAAGCCAGCACAAACAUUCCCAACAUCCACCACCAUUGCUUCUGUGAUCUUUUCAAUAGACAAAGGAAAAAUGAGUGGCAUGGGAGGCAUCUUUCAUGAUACAUUUUAUCUGUACAACCUGUUACCUUUUUUUUUUUUUUUUUUUUUUUUUUGAGAUGGAGUCUCGCUCUGUCACCCAGGCUGCAGUGCAGUGGCGCCAUCUCGGCUCACUGCAAGCUCUGCCUCCCGG